GAAAUAUACAAAAAUAAGCUUCUAACUUAUAUUAUAGCGUUUAACGUUAAUAUUUCU
rnacentral:tRNA from 1 species